rnacentral:rRNA from 1 species
AUGUUUGAAGGGAUGGAGGGGAUGAGCUACGGCGGAGGUGCUGCUGGGGCUGGGGCUGGGGCGGCGGCGCUGUCGCGGGAUCCAAAGCAGCGGUUGCGGUGGACGCCGGACCUCCACGACCGCUUCGUGCACGCCGUCGCCAGGCUCGGCGGCCCCGACAAAGCGACGCCAAAGGGAGUGCUCAGGCUGAUGGCCAUGAAAGGCCUCACUCUGUACCACCUGAAAAGCCACCUUCAGAAAUACAGGCUGGGAAAGCACACCAAGAAAUCCACAGACCUGGAAUUAGCCAACAAUGGAGAGUUUACCUCGCAAGACAUCAGCUUCCAAAUCGGUGCGCCUCUGGUUGUUCCUGCUGGACGCGACACCGCAAGAGAAAUGCCGCUUGAGGAUACCCUCAGGUAUCAAAUUCAGGUCCAAAGAGAACUGUGCGAACAACUUGAGGUGCAGAAGAAGCUACAGAUGCGAAUAGAGGCCCAAGGGAGGUAUUUAAAGGAAAUACUAGAGAAAGCUCAGGAAAACAUUUCCUUUGAUGCAAAUGGAUCUGCUGGCCUAGAAAAUACCAGAUCACAGCUCACGGAUUUCAACCUAGCUCUUCCGGGUCUCACGGAGAAUGGAAGACAGGUGUAUGAAGAAAGCGGUGAACAGUUGGUGAAAGAUAUGUCUGAUGACAAUCUUCAUGAUAAUAACUUGGAUUUUCAGCUCUACCGUGUACGAAGUCAGGAGGCUAAGAGUGUCAAAUGCACCCCGAAAACUGAGGACCUGCUCUUAUUAGACUUGAAUAUAAAAGGAGGAUAUGACCUGUCUUCGAGAGGAAUGCAAGGUGCUUAG